rnacentral:rRNA from 1 species
CGCAGCCGCGGUAAUUCCAGCUCCAAUAGCGUAUAUUAAAGUUGUUGCAGUUAAAAAGCUCGUAGUUGAAUUUCGGGACCAAUUUGUUGGUCGUGCCUCGGUACGUACUGAUAUUAUUGGUUUCUCCCUUCUGAAGAACCAUGAUGCCAUUAAUUUGGUGUCGUGGGGAAUCAGGACUGUUACUUUGAAAAAAUUAGAGUGUUUAAAGCAGGCUUUCGCUUGAAUACAUUAGCAUGGAAUAAUGAAAUAGGACGUUUGAUUCUAUUUUGUUGGUUUCUAGGAUCGACGUAAUGAUUAAUAGGGAUAGUUGGGGGCAUUAGUAUUCAAUUGUCAGAGGUGAAAUUCUUGGAUUUAUUGAAGACUAACUACUGCGAAAGCAUUUGCCAAGGAUGUUUUCAUUAAUCAAGAACGAAAGUUAGGGGAUCGAAGACGAUCAGAUACCGUCGUAGUCUUAACCAUAAACUAUGCCGACUAGGGAUCGGAUGAUGUUAAUUUUUAAUGUACUCAUUCGGCGCCUUAC